CACAGGGACGAGGCGUACGUUUGUCUUUUUCCAGUUGAAAAUCAAUAUUAUUUUAAAAUGUAUAAAAACUGUAUAUAUUAUAUACAGUAGUUUUCGAUACGAAGAUAUCACAUAUUUAAAUUAUAAUGCAAGGGACUACAAGUUCCGUCUUCCGCUACUGCAUGGUGCUUCAUGGCUCGUCGUGGGUGGCUACCGUGAUGUCCUAAUCCCACCAAGUCCCUAGAGGGUACUCUAGGAUCGUAUAGUUCUUAGUGAGAAAACAGAAAGCGGACGGAUUUGCGGAGACAAAGCGCGAAUGAAAAACAUGCGCACAGAAAGCUACGCGAGAACAAAAGGGUAAACGAAGACAAAGACUAAAACGUAGAAAUAAAAACGACGUGAGGAAAAACGACAUUUUUUCAUAUAGAAUUCUCUCAAAAUUUGAAAAUAGCUUAAAAUUGAGAAAUUAAUCCAAAGGAGAAACAAACACGAAUCUAACAAACUAAAACUACCCUAAUAAGCUACCUCUCUUUUCAAAUAGAAUUAUCAUACACAAGUAUAUGUUUCAGGACCCGAAAGAAAAAGGAAAAUAAAAUAGAGCGACAAAGUACAUAUGUUCCUCGGUUUCCAUCGCCUCUUUUUUAGACGAGCUCACGAGCAUUGUGUUCGAUAAAUUUAACGCGCGCACUAAACUCGAAAGCGCCUAUUGACAUCAAGAAAUUUGCAGGAACGAAGGGUCUCUAUGUUAACGGGACGAGAAUGGUCGAAAUAUGUAUGUGUAUAUAUGUAUAUAGACAUAGUAUAAUAAUAUGUACAAAUUAUGUAUAUAUAUGGUAUGUGUGUAUGUGUACGUAUCAAAGUAGAAAGGGAUAUAGAGAAAAAAUGAGAGGAGACUGCGAGAAAGAGGGAGGCAGAAAAAGAAGGCGACAGAAAAAGAUAAAAAUGUGGAUAGGGCAGGGAGAAAUGCAGAGAUCGGAUAGAGAUCGAGCGAACAGAGAAACAGGAAAAAGGGGAUGGCAAGGGAGACAGAGAACAUGAGAGGGAGAGAAGGAAGAGUGAGUAGAGAACUCUGAGCGCCGCAGCGCUACGGGGUGGUUGCCCUCGUCUGCGCUUUGUGGGAAAUGCCCGCUCAAUAACGCGUAGGUCCUCGUCUGCCCCUUCUCACCCUCGGAGGCAUCGCAGCAAGGGCCACUGCCCCAAAAGGCACGGCCACCCAUCGAAUAACCCUUAUCCUAUCUCUCCCUCCUACCCAUAAGACAGUUCUUCGAUUUUCUUCCUCCUUCUUCUAUUCUUUUUCCUCUUCCUUCGACCGUCUCAUACGUUGAAAAAGAUCGAAUCCUCGUCUUUGCACACAGACCUCGUGUACAGUCGCCGAAAAGACAAGAGGAACUGACAAAUAUCACUGCACCGAUUAAUCUUGCGGUCUGAUUUGCGAUUUCUAGAUAGGAAGGUCGACUUCUACCGAAUUGAAGAUCAUAAAGCAUAUUUUCAUACUUUCUCUAUAUUAUUACUGAUAUUACUAUUAUCAAUAAAAUAUAAAUAAUAUAAUUUAAUUACAAUUAAAUAGUUGUAUUCUGUAUGUCCUUAUAUCUAACACAACAAGGGCGGAUUUGUCAUCGAGGAAUUUGGGAAAUUCCCGGUGGGCCGGUAGGGAUUUGGGGCCGCUCUCUGCAG